CUUAAUUUCAACAGAAGUAACAAUUAAAAUCAAUAAGAACCGAGAAGCUUGCGUUAAAAAACACAUUUUGUGUCCGGAUGCACAUUGUCUAGUUGACACACUUUGUGUGGACAACUGUUUUAUUUAUGACAUAAAUAACCUUUCCUUUGUGUAAGUAGAAGUCAACCGUAAGAUAACUAGGUUUGUGACUUGUUGCAAUUAAUGAUAAAAUCUUAAACAAAAAAGUAGGUAUAUAGGUAUAAGUGAAUGGUCUGGGGACGUCAGAUCUGUUUUUAAGUCAUAAGAUCUAACGGUUGAGGAUAGAUCCGUGGAUGUUGACAUAAGUUUGUGGAUAUAUAAAUAUUAAAAGAAUGAGAAACAAAAAAAUAUUUAAUUUGAUUUUUUUUUUAAAGUAUUUUGGUUUUCUUCAAUAGUUUUUUUUUGUUAUUAUCUAGUAUUAUGAUAUGUAAAUUUGAUAUAUGAUAUAUAUAGUAAAUUAUAAUUCUUUUUUCUUCUAUGUUUUGAGAUCCAUAUGUAUAUAUUUAUUUUGAUAUUUUAUUUUUUCAUAAAAUUUAAAAUUGAAUUAAGUGGACAGAGCGUCGUGGACAAUGUGUUGUAGACGGUGCAAUUUGAACAAUUCGUAUUUUAAUUUUUAUAAAAUAUAAAACUGAUUUAAGUGGACACACUAUCAUGGACAAUAUAUUGUGGACAAUACAAUUUGAAAGAAUGUAUUGUAACGGUGCAAUUCGAAAGAAUGAGUGAUAGACGGUGUUAGUUAUGGAUGGUGCGUAUGUGGAAGUGUAUGUGCAAUGUGAAAGAAUGAGUUAUGGAUGGUGCUAGUUAUGGAUGGUGUGUAUGUGGAAGUGUACGUUGGUUCAUAUAGAUGAUGACCAAGAUCUACUAAAACAACUAACCAUUUAGAACAAUAACAUUGAAAAGAAAGACACACUGAUGUAGUUCCUUUAAAAGAGAAAAAUAACAAAUAAUCAUUUAGGACAAUAUGCUGAAAACAAUUUAACAUUGAUGGAGUAGUUCUUGAUACAAAACAUAUAUUGAUGAAGUUUUUCCUAGUUUAUGUGUGUGUGUGGACAAGAGAGGUGUGGACUGCGAAGUUGGAGAUGGACGAGUUGUGGACAGGGGAUGUGUGUACAUGGAUGCCUUUGAUAAAGGCGUGGACAUGAGUACUGUGGGAGAUAGAUCUGUGGAGUUGAGCAGCAUAUUGAAUAUCGUGAGCUGUCCCAGACUUUUGUAUAGUGACAAUUAGAUACCAAACAUGGAAGCUACCAACCUAACUUCAAAUCUAACAUUGGUUUCAAUAGUUAAUGGACACAACAUGGGCCAAUCAAGCACAUGAUAGAACAGAGUAAUAAAAGUAAUACCUUGAAAGUGAACUCCAUAGUUCAUCUCUGAACAACAUUAGCAGCAGAUGCAACAACAAGAGACUAUCUUCCAAACCCUUAUUUGCUUACAAACAGAGAGAAGUCACACUUAACUCAAAAUAUACCAAUGUUUAGAUAAUAGUUACGUCACAUACAUAGUUAAGUCAUAUCCAAAAAUUGAUAUACAAGAGAGAUGCGGAUAUGAGAUUGAUGGGUAAGAGAACGAUGGGGAGGAGAUGGAUGGAUACGAGCUUGGUGGACAUGAAAUUCAUGGACGACAGCUUUGUGGAUAGCCCAUUUGUGGACAAGGAAAUUGUUGGACAUGAAAAGCAUGGGCGACAUGUGAAUCAAAUGUUGCAGGAGAGAUAUCGGCUUCGCUGUCUGCUUAAGAAGAAAAUCAAAAAUUUAUUUAUUUCUUAUCUUCUUGUAUAUCAAUUAGAAACAAGUAUGAAAGAGGAAAAAAAAAUAUGUAUAUGAAAUUCUCAUAGUUCAAUUAGAAGCAAACCUUGGAUAUAUUCGGUGAAGAUCUGGAAUCUCCCAAUCUGAGAUUUCAGAAUAGAUUUUCCUUAGCCCCAACCUGAGGUUUCCAUGAAUUCCGGAUUUAAAACAUAAAGCGGCGAAAGAUAAAACGACAACAGAAAUUAGUGAUUUAGAAUUAUAAAAAAAGUCUACAAAUUUAGUGAAGAAAAAGAAGAUUUAGAAGGAUACGGAAGGUGAGAGAUGAAGAUGACGAUAGAUUGAGGCAAGAUUGAUUUUAAGGAAUUAGGAAAUAUAAAACCAAAAUGUGAAAGUUAAAUGAAAUUAAUUAUAGAGAAUAUUGAAAAAAAAUUUGACACAUGUUACGACAUCUUCUCUCUAUUUGAAGGGCAAUUCAAUAAAUGAGCAUAAGAAAGUGUUAUUUUGACCCAAUGUGUUGUAAUUGAUAACUCAUAAUGUGUCUUGGAAGGUAAUUUUUUUGAAAAUACCGGUCCUUUCUUGUCAAACUAAUACGUAGAGAGUCAAUUGGUCACCUAUUUAAGUAAUUUAAACUAUUUGGAUCAUAUCUUACGCAAAGUAUGCAUUUUGUUUCUUGUACUUCUAUAACAAUGGACUAGGCUGGGCAAUGAGAGAAAUUCCUCACUCAAAAUCCAAUGAGAAAUAACUUUUGUGAGGAUAUUAAUUCUUUACAAAAAGCUUAUCCAUUUUUUAAAUCUUUCUUAGCCAUCUUUUCAAUAAUGGCCUACUUGUAAAAAUGCUGAUAUAAAAGAAGUGUCUAGAUCAAAGAUUCGUAUUAGGUAAAGUUUUAAAUUGACUAGGUCUUCCAAGCUGUCAAGAAAUUAGUUGAGUUAUGUUUCUGAAAUCGAAAUCAGUUAGAUGGUUUUAUAUCAAAGGGAAAUCUCUUGCCUUCGUUCUAUAUUAAAAUGUGCACAUGUGCAUUUGUAAACAGAAGAUAUGUACAUACAAGAGAUUUGGUUGUUGAGAUAGUUUUUGCAUCUAAGAUCUUUCUUCUUAAAUUCAAACUCGAGUCUAGUUGUAGUAUACAUGAUUAGUAAGAAUUCAUAGACCUAUGUAAUGUUCAAUACUUAACUUUUCACCUUUUUGUAUAUCUCAUGUAAUUAAAUUGUGAAAUUCAAGGCCUAAACGUCAAACAAACAAUUUCAAAAAUCCACCAAUAGUGCUAGUGGUUUAACGCAAGGAAUUAGUUCUAUCAUGCUCCUAAAUAAUUAGGAAGAGAUUUGGACCUGAUCCAAUCUACUCACAGUUAACAUAAAAAUAAUUUCAUAAAUCUCUCACAUUUGUGUCAGAAGCAAUAAUAGCUACCUUGACUGUUGAACAAGAUUUAAGUUUAAUUCUGUUGACCGCAUGAGCUUUCGUUUAAUGUGUCUCUCAGGAUAUAUUCUUAACUUAAAUACCCAACGUACAUACAUGGAGCGGUAGCAUAUGCAUGGGAAGAAUCUGAGUUCUUCAGUUUCAAAAAAAAGAAUCUGGGCUCUUCAGGGAAUGGUGUAGCUAGCUAAUGGGCCUAAGCUGAGUUCAGUAUAAUCAGCCGGCCCAGAAAAAGCCCAUAUCACAAGAGCUAGUCAGAGUCAUCAUCAGUCACCAAAGAAUCUGUUGGGCAGCAACGUCAACUGAAGUUCCUAUCACAACGUCAGAGUCAUCACUUCUUCUUUUUGUCUGCUAUCUUCUAUCCAUCACACGCAUAGGACCAUCGAUCGGAUAGUAAUCUCUCGGUUGAAGUGCGCCUAAUAAAAAUGUUGAUCCAAAAUGUACUUUAUUAUUAAAAACCUUCAUGCAAAUAAUUCGUUAGACCUCUACGGCGUCGUGGUGGUGCACUCCUUCUCUGCUCAGGCCAGGUGAGCUCUGUUUUUCUGUUGACUGGAAGGCGAGCUGUGGACUGUUGUACGCAGGAGGGUUGGUACACGGUUCUCGUUCCGGUUCGUUAGGGUUUGUGGAGUUUGUUGUCGGGAAGUCGUCUAUGGCUUUCUUGUAGCAGCUCGGCAGCUCUUCUCAUCUCAGACACCCGGUGUUGUCACUGCCUGGUCCCUUAUUAGAGAUAUAUAUCCCAAAUCGGGAAUUCUAAAAGACAUUAAAUAAUAUAUAAAGGGUUAUGAACAAUCCACUAAUCACCAAUUGGUUUUAAAUUAGAAGUCCAUAACAAACCUAAAUCUAACAUAGUAUCAGAGCCCAAAUUAAUGGCGGCCAUUAUGGAGGCUCAACUCUUGGGUUAUGGCGGUGACCCUUUUGAGGCAAUUGCACAUCCCAGUGUCGGUUGCUUAUCAUUUGAUUGCGAUUGGUAGUGUUCUUGACAGCUUAAGUGCAGGUUCUUAGAGUUUCUAGGCAGUGUUUGGUGUCGAGUUCAGGUCCGUUUUUGGCGUCGAAGGUUUAUAUGUCUCGAACUUAUAUUGGGUUUGGGUAAAGCUAAUAACUGUCCUAUGGUAGGGUUUCAGACUAGGGGGAUUCUGGAUUUUACAUCUACAAUGCAGAUCAAGCCGUGCACAGAAUCCAUACCGGAGAAAUAACACUCUUCUCCUAGAACUUUCAUAGGAUAACGAUGAAUAGGCUGAGAAGAAGAGUACGACCUGAUCGAAUUAACAAACAUAUUUUGACCUGGUUUUGAGCAGAGUAGAAGACUUGGCUCCCGUGUAAUUCCAAAAAACUUGAUGAAACAUGGAUCGGUGGUGAUCGAUACCAAAGCUUCGAGACGCAACGUAAGAGAAUCUCCGAGGUUAGAUCGCUGGGUAACCAAAAACCUGACGUCGAUUGUUUCUUCAUCUUAGGUGAAGAAGACUCGGGAAGAGACUAUAAGACCAUGAUUAUAGCUGAUCCUUAAUGGAAUUUUUAAACAAAAUACUGAUUUAAUUUUUUUUUUUUGUCGAUGGUUAAUUAUACUAUUACAAACUAUGAAAAAUAUUACGAGACGAUUCUAUAGCCGGCAAUUCUACUUGUCUUAUGAGGAUUCACGUUUCACUGCAUUAUCCUGAGCCAUCCUAUGAGAUCCAUGUCUGACGGUAUUCCAUGCGCUAUUUAUAUGAUUUUCUCCAUAAAUAUAUAUGCAUAAUUCGCCUUUGCUGGGAUUCGAAACUCAUACCUUCUGGUGUAGAAGCAUUAAUGAACCCUUAGUUAAACCACUGGACUAAGGAGCUUCCACAAAUAACUGAUUUAAUUAAAUCAAAACUAAUUAAAAGGAAAAUUAUCCAUCGUUAACUUGGGACUUUGGAGACCGAUCUUUAGUAUCAUCAAACCAUCAAACCUUUUUUUUUUCUUUUCUCACCGCAUUCUCGUCUUCUCAUUUUCUCCGUCAGAGGAGGAACCAAACCGAUGACGGACGACCCUAUUCGUCGCCGUCUCUGUUACUCCCGUCGUCGACCCAAAACGCCGUCGAAGCUGAUUUAGUGAUGGAACCUAACGAUCAGUUUCACCGACUGAAAACGGCAGCGUAAGUGACGUGGAGAAGUUUCUCUGCGAGCGAUUGGUGGACCAGUCGCAGCCGAUCUCAGAGCGAUUCAGAGCUCUCUUCUCUCCUCGCAACUUGAAAGGCCCCGGACCUCGCAACGCUCUAAUCCUGGCAGCAGAAUCUCUCGGAGCCAUUGGUUUAGCUGGUAAUGCUGAGAUUUUGAAGCAAAGUUUGGUUCUGGAUCCAGCACAAGAGGUUCGGGAAACGUGUGAGUUAGCUCUCAAAAGGAUUGAAGAUCUGAGUAGUGUUGAUGCGGAGAAGGAGUUAGACACGACAAAGACGGCUCAUGCUGCUGCUUUCUCCUCUGUACACCAGCUGAGGUUCUUCUAAACUUGACCAACUCUAAAUCUUCUAGAUGGUUUUUCAGUUUGUGAUAGCUUAUUUGAUUAACAGCAGAUUCUUCCAGAUGAAAUUAAAGGCAUGUAUGAGAGAUAUGCUGCACUUUUCGCUCUAAGUAAUCAUGGGGGAGAGUAAGCUGUUUCUGCCAUAGUUGAUUCUUUUGAGUGCUAACAGUGCCCUUUUACGUAUUCCUUCGUUUGAUGACUUUCAGUUUGUUCAUGAACUUGCAUAAGUGUUUGUGUUUGUUAAGAGCUUGAAUCUUCAAUCUUUGCUUCA